rnacentral:misc_RNA from 1 species
GGUCGUGCUGAGUCAGUCC